AUUGAACGCUGGCGGCAGGCCUAACACAUGCAAGUCGAACGAGUGGCGGACGGGUGAGUAAUGUCUGGGAAACUGCCUGAUGGAGGGGGAUAACUACUGGAAACGGUAGCUAAUACCGCAUACCAUCAGCUAUGCCCAGAUGGGUUGAGCUUGUUGGUGGGGUAACGGCUCACCAAGGCGACGAUCCCUAGCUGCGCUGAGAGGAUGACGUGCGACAAUGGAAAGGAUAAACGGGCCAGACUCCUACGGAAGGCAGCAGUGGGGAAUAUUGCACAACGGGCGCAAGCCUGAUGGAGCCAUGCGGCGGGUAUGACGAAGGCAGUCGGGUUGUAAAGUAAUUUCAGCGGGGAGGCGUUACCCGCAGAAGAAGCACCGGCUAACUCCGUGCCAGCAGCCGCGGUAAUUC
rnacentral:rRNA from 1 species